UACGUAGGCAGCGAGCGUUGUUCGGAGUUACUGGGCGUAAAGGGUGUGUAGGCGGUUGUUUAAGUUUGGUGUGAAAUCUCCCGGCUCAACUGGGAGGGUGCGCCGAAUACUGAAUGACUUGGAGUGCGGGAGAGGUGAGUGGAAUUCCUGGUGUAGCGGUGAAAUGCGUAGAUAUCAGGAGGAACACCGGUGGUGUAGACGGCUCACUGGACCGUAACUGACGCUGAGACACGAAAGCGUGGGUAGCGAACAGG
rnacentral:rRNA from 1 species